rnacentral:misc_RNA from 1 species
CUGAAUGGUCUUCUGGCCUUCUACCUUUCAAACCUGUGGAAGCAACAUGUGCUUCGGUGCCCGUCGGGUGCCGCUUUUAUGCUGUAAUUGGCCUUGUGUCUGAAUCAGAAUAAACAAAUCA